rnacentral:rRNA from 1 species
CCUACGGGUGGCAGCAGUGGGGAAUAUUGCGCAAUGGGCGAAAGCCUGACGCAGCGACGCCGCGUGAGUGAAGAAGUCUUUCGGGAUGUAAAACUCUGUCGAGUGGGACGAUAAUGACGGUACCACUGGAGGAAGCCCCGGCUAACUACGUGCCAGCAGCCGCGGUAAUACGUAGGGGGCGAGCGUUAUCCGGAUUUAUUGGGCAUAAAGAGCGUGUAGGUGGCUCCUUAAGUCAGAUGUUAAAUCCCCCGGCUCAACCGGGGUCCGCAUUUGAUACUGGGGAGCUAGAGAUUGGGAGAGGAAAGCGGAACUCACGGUGUAGCGGUGAAAUGCGUAGAUAUCGUGAGGAACACCAGUUGCGAAGGCGGCUUUCUGGACCAAAUCUGACACUCAAGCGCGAAAGCGUGGGGAGCAAACGGGAUUAGAUACCCUUGUAGUC